rnacentral:rRNA from 1 species
UAGGGAAUAUUGGUCAAUGGGCGGAAGCCUGAACCAGCCAUGCCGCGUGCAGGACGACGGCCUUCGGGUUGUAAACUGCUUUUCGGCGGGACGAUGAUGACGGUACCGCCGGAAGACGCCCCGGCUAACUCCGUGCCAGCAGCGGCGGUAUGACGGAGGGGGCAAGCGUUGUCCGGACUCACUGGGCGUAAAGGGCGCGCAGGCGGGACGGCGCGUCGGCGCUGAAAGCGCCCGGCUUAACCGGGCGCGGCGCGGCGAUACGACCGACCUGGAGGCAGGCAGAGGGUGGCGGAAUUCCGGGUGUAGUGGUGAAAUGCGUAGAGAUCCGGAGGAACGCCUGUGGCGCAAGCGGCCGCCUGGGCCUGACCUGACGCUGAGGCGCGAAAGCGUGGGGAGCGAACCGGAUUAGAUACCCGCGUAGUCC